UGGGGAAUAUUGCACAAUGGGGGAAACCCUGAUGCAGCGACGCCGCGUGGGUGAAGAAGUACUUCGGUACGUAAAGCCCUAUCAGCAGGGAAGAAAAUGACGGUACCUGAUUAAGAAGCCCGGCUAACUACGUGCC
rnacentral:rRNA from 1 species